GACGUAGGGCGCGAGCGUUGUCCGGAUUUAUUGGGCGUAAAGAGCUCGUAGGCGGCUUGUCGCGUCGACUGUGAAAACCCGUGGCUCAACCAUGGGUCUGCAGUCGAUACGGGCAGGCUAGAAUUCGGUAGGGGAGACUGGAAUUCCCGGUGUAGUGGUGAAAUGCGUAGAUAUCGGGAGGAACACCAGUGGCGAAGGCGACUACCUGGCCUGUUCUUGACGCUGAGGCGCGAAAGCUAGGGGAGCAAACGGG
rnacentral:rRNA from 1 species